UCCUGCAAAAAUAAUACAAACUGUCAGCCUUGCUCAUGCUUAUAUCAAAAUCUUAUUAGCUUAGAGAGAGCAUAUAUUGAAAGUAACUUUGUCCACAAAUUCUGACACCAUCACAUACGAGGAUACAGUAUAAAGAACUGCCAGGUGGAAUCAACAAUGGAGGAGAAGCAGACAGGUGAACUGGAAAGAUCAAAUCCAUCAUCUGGACCAAGAGACCAUGGUGGGAUAUUCUCGUGGAAACAGUGUUGCAUUCUAUACUCAACACAUACUAUCAUGAUAGACUUUUUGUAUACAAGAUCAGAGGAAAAGAAAAUUAAGUCUUUUGGAUAGCAUUUUCAUAAGACAGAGAAACAGUAUAAUCAAUUUUUGUUAAGGCAGGCACAUAUCACCAAUCUAUAAUAAGGUAAUAAUUAUAAAACUGGAGCUUCUAUACAAGCACGUAAAACUUUCUAAGAUAUAAUAUUAUCUACCUGACCUAAAUUUGUUUUCUAAAAUGGCUUUGGAUUCUGGCAAAUAGAACUUGUCAGAGUCUAAAAGCAAGUGAGGGAGAAUGUAUGUACUCUGCAGGCCUAAAUAUUUAAAGCUCCAUGUAUACUAAUCCAUGCAGAUUCUAGAUUAUAGGCAAAGUGUUUGGUGAAAAUAGACUGUAGCUAGGAGGAUCAUGGCCUUAAAAGCGCUAUAACACACUUUAAGUACAAGCUAAGAGGCAAUGAGGUCCAUGGGUGCAUAGCUUGCCACAGUGUAAAAGCAAAUCAGCAUGAAUGCUUGUAGGCCCAGUGGCCCAUAUUUAUAAAGGUCCAUGGUCAAUAGUCAGUGCAGAACCUAGAUUACAGAAAAGAAUGAAUUUUGUGGAAAUAGCUUGUAGCUGUAAGGACCAUGACCUUAUAGCCCCGCAUACUUAAGUACAAGCCAGGAGGCAUGGUUGCAUAGUAUGAAGCCGCCGUGCACUAUAUCAAAUGGGCUUAAGAGAUAAACAGUAUGGUUUCAGCUUACACAAGAAUAUAUGUCUGAACUAGGUGAAAAGAUCAAUUGUCACUAAUGGUUACCAAACACUUUAACAGAUAAUACUGUGGUUAUAAUAUACAGGACCAACGCUAAUCACUGAUCAAGUGACUUUAAUCUCCUAACCAUCAACCCAGAUUCAGUGUACCAAAAAAUAUUUUAAACAAAGACUUAAAAGUUUAAACCUAUAUCUGUUAGUUCUCAUUUAUUUUAGCAGCCACUGAAGAUAGACAGUAAUUGCAGUAUAAUACUGGAGCCUCUUUACUUAUUCCUAUUUCAUCAAGUUGGCAAUCUCAAAUGUAGAGAGAAGCAAUUAUAAUCUCACACUUCCAGUGCCAACAAAAAUAUGAGGUUGCAUUCAAAAGUCAGUUAAGCAGAUAUAGUGUAAAUGUCAACAUAUCAAUAGCUCUUUUCAUAGACAUCUGAUUCAUUUCCAAGCCUAUGCACGAACUGAUAGCUGAAGUAGCUAUGCACACUGCCAAUACGAGACUCAGAAGGUGGUAAUGUAAAUCUAAUUCAGUAGCAAGAUUAUGCCAGGAAUCCCUGAUGCCAAUGAAUUGAACAACGGAGUUAUCUGGAUCGGAGAACUGAACUGGGAAUUUGAGAUGGCACAAAUAACUUCAUCAUCAGUUUCUGGAUUACUACAAGAUGGUGCAACACAGAUAACUUCUUUAGCAACAUCAGCAAGGAUUUUGUGAUCUCCUAUAGUUGAUCCAGUACUAUACUCGGAGCUAUCGGGAGAGUCUACAUAUAAAUCUGAUAGCCUGCAAGAGCCAUUAGUUAGUCUAAUGAGCUGUAAAUAUCCUGCUGAAGCCCAUUCCAGUUCUGGAAAAAUGUAAUUACCUCCAA